rnacentral:rRNA from 1 species
UAGUAUAGCAAUUUCGCAUGAAACCACUAUUAAAGUUCCAACGGUGAAAGAUGAGCAUGCGUCCCAUUAGCUAGAUGGUAAGGUAACGGCUUACCAUGGCUACGAUGGGUAGGGGUCCUGAGAGGGAGAUCCCCCACACUGGUACUGAGACACGGACCAGACUCCUACGGGAGGCAGCAGUGAGGAAUAUUGGUCAAUGGACGCAAGUCUGAACCAGCCAUGCCGCGUGCAGGAUGACGGUCCUAUGGAUUGUAACUGCUUUGUACGAGAAGAAACAACAUUACGUGUAAUGUCUUGACGGUAUCGUAAGAAUAAGGAUCGGCUAACUCCGUG